ACAGCUAACAGAGGAACAUAAUGAGGAGUUAAGGGAAAUCAGAGAGGGAUAUGAAAUCAAGCUCAAAGAAAUGGAGAAGGACUUGGCUGUUGCAAGGAAUGAUGUAGAGGACAUGGCUGACAAACUUGCUGAAACUACUCUUCUUAAUCAGCAAUUAAAUGAG